UAUAACAAUGGGCCUUAUCACAGGAUGCGGGUUCGGUCUUGUUUUUAUGCCUGCGGUUCUAAUAGUAACCUAAUAUUUCAACAGAUUAAGAUCGCUUGCAUUUGGUAUAGCAUUUUCCGGUUGUGGAAUAGGAGUGUUCAUAUUUAGCCCUAUGUUGAAAAUCGUUCUGGACGAGUAUUCAUUGCAAGGGACCUUACUUAUAUUGUCUGCCAUUGUUCUCAACUGUAUACCCUGUGGACUUGUGUUUCUACCUCUAACACCUAGACAAGCACUGCAAACAAAUGAGAGAAAUCAGAAUUUGGAGAACACGUAUGAACUUCGUUCUCUUGUUAAACGGGAACGAAACACAAAAUUGCCAACAGCGGACAAUGAUUCUGAAGAUGAUACAAAUGAAUGCAAGGAAUGCAACAACAAAACAUAUUUUCUAAACCCUACUAAAUCUAAUGUAAAUGAAUCAGACACUAUGUAUGAAAAUGACAUGACAACCACUGAUCCAAGAGGUAAAGCUGAUAUUGAUGUCAUAGUGCGCACGAAUAAAUCUAACGAAUUUGAAGAAGUUUCAGAUAACUCUAAGUUUACAAUUGCCAGAUAUUUAGUGCUUGUGAAAAGAUGAGAUAUGGUGAUUUUCUUCAUAUCACAGUUCCAUUUUAUGUUUGGAUACUAUCUGCCUUUUAUCUUUAUACCUGAUAAUAUGAGGAAUCUAGGUAAUGAUGACCAUGUUAUAUUCUUACAUGAAAAAAAAAUACUAUGCACGUUUUCGUUAAAACACGACAAAAUUGGCGUCACAUCGACUUACUGUACAUGGUCAGGGGCGUACCUGGGCAUACGCCGAUACGCCUGUGCGUACAAUUAAAUCCGACACCGGGAAAAUGAAGAAGCUUCAAGUGUGAAAAAAUGCAAUAAAAUGUAAAGCUUAAAGGGAGUUAGGCGGCUAUUUCAAGUUCCUGUAAUUAUCUUGUAAAUGGUAAGGGUAGAUUCUUUACGGAACACUGACAAAAGGAACGGGCAAUGGUAACACCUUCGAUAUUUUUCUUCAUUCUAAAUCAUAUAUUGUUUACAAAGAAACAAUUUUCUUGAUAGAAGCUGGUCCUAUUGACAAGAUUUCAUUAGUUUUUUCCCCAGGUGCUCCUCCUUGUAUUAUUUUAUCACGGGCGGACACCCGGGUAGAACUAACGGCCUUCCAUAAGCCAGCUGGAUGGUUUCUUCAUAUGAAGAAUUCAACGUCCCGAGUGAGGCUCAAACCCACAUCGAUGAUGUGCAAGUGAUUCAAAGUUAGCGACAUUAACCACUCGGCCAUAGAGGCCCCACGUAAAACACUGGUAUUCAAGCAUGCAAGAGAACAAAAAUACUUGAGUCAUCCGUGGUCUCAUGUAAUAAAAGCUUGCGCUUAAUAUAACAUUUGAUGUCAGUAUCGAUGUGGAAUUCAAUCUAUCAAUCUGCAUCCAGAUCAGGAUACUGAAAUACCAAAGCAAUUUACGCAGUUUAAAUUUUUGUUUGCAAAAAGUUGGAUGUUGUUUACGUUUUCUAUAAAAUGUUUACAUUCGUUUGAGAAAGAUAUAUCAAUGAUUAUUUGAUAAAACCUGACAAAUUCGCAAUGUAUGGGUAGACGCAUUUAUCAAAAACCUGUCAAAAUGCGGAUGUAGAAGUCAUGCAUGAAAUUUAAACACUACGAUGAUUUCAAAAACGAUAACAAAAAAAUAGAAUAUUCUUACAAAAUCCAAUCGAGACUCUCUCUCUCUCUCUCUCACCUACCCCAUACUCGCAGCAUCGCCGUCUAUCUGGCGUACAGUUCAAAAUCAUCCAGGUAUGCACCUGAUGGUGCUUCCCUAUUUCGUGGGGCUGACCGUCGUGACAUUUCGCGAGCGUAUAACCUCUUCGUAUGUCUCGAUAUAUGAAAAUAUGGUUCUGUUAUAUAUUUUUGCCUAAGUACAUAUUAAUAAUUAUUUACCAUACUGCCAAUUAAGGCUUUUGAUGAAAAAUUACGGAAGCAACAGACGAAUUAAUAAGUUUAUAAAACGUACAUAUUAAUAUAGUUAAUAAGUUUUGGUAAUUUUUCUAGUCGUGUUGUAGCGUAAGCAAUAAUUUCUAAAGUUCUGCUUGGGUCGCCUCUGUCAUUGGAAUAUCUAGUAUAUGUGGCAGAAUUAUCCUAGGUUAUAUUGCUGACAGGCCCUCGGUAAAUAGACUGCUUAUGUUCAAGAUCACGCUACUGAUAGCUGGGAUAAUUACAGCAUUAAGUCCGGUGCUGAACAGUUUGUGGCUGAUGAUGGUGCAUGCUGUAAUAUAUGGUAUAUCAACAGGUUUCACACUCUCAGUGACAUCUGUUAUAUUAUUUGACCUAGUUGGACUUAAAUCUUUGACUGAAGCUUUAGGAAUGGUCUCAUUAUUUAGCGGGCUUGGUUCUGUACUGGGACCUCCGUUUGCAGGUUUGCUGUACGACACAACUGGAAGUUAUACAGCACCAUUUUUAGCUUCUGGAGCAUCGAUGUCAUUUGCUGCAAUACUGAUGUUCCUUUUACCAGUCUGUCGUAAACAUUAAAACAAAUAGACGUACAGUUGCUUUAAGUCUGAGCUUUUAAGUUAAAUUUUUUUAUCUUAUCCUAACGUCAUGCGAAAUAAAGGGAAAAUUGAGGAGUGUCAUAAAUUUUGAUUUAUCAUGUCAGUGGCGAAAUAAAAUCCUGCUGGACUUUUUUUACCGUUUUUUU